GUUGGUUCAAGCCUGUAGUCGUGCCCGGUGGGCAAAUCCGCCGGGCUUAGAUGAGGGGUGAUAACGAGGCUGCUUGCAGCCGAAGUGAGUGAUACCCUGCUUCCAGGAAAAGCCACUAAGCUUCAGCUAUUGACGACCGUACCGCAAACCGACACUGGUGCGCGAGAUGAGUAUUCUAAGGCGCUUGAGAGAACUCUGGAGAAGGAACUCGGCAAAUUGAUACCGUAACUUCGGGAGAAGGUAUGCCCCAAGUAGGUGAACCUGUACAAGGCGAGCCCAAAGGGGUUGCAAAAAAUCGGUGGCUGCGACUGUUUAAUAAAAACACAGCACUCUGCAAACACGAAAGUGGACGUAUAGGGUGUGACGCCUGCCCGGUGCUGGAAGAUUAAAUGAUGGGGUGAGAGCUCUUGAUUGAAGUCCCAGUAAACGGCGGCCGUAACAAUAACGGUCCUAAGGUAGCGAAAUUCCUUGUCGGGUAAGUUCCGACCUGCACGAAUGGCGUAACGAUGGCCACACUGUCUCCUCCAGAGACUCAGCGAAGUUGAAAUGUUUGUGAUGAUGCAAUCUCCCCGCGGAAAGACGGAAAGACCCCAUGAACCUUUACUGUAGCUUUGUAUUGGAUUUUGAACGGAUCUGUGUAGGAUAGGUGGGAGGCUUUGAAGUGCGGUCGCUAGAUCGCAUGGAGCCAACGUUGAAAUACCACCCUGGUGCGUUUGAGGUUCUAACCCAGGUCCCUUAUCGGGAUCGGGGACAGUGCAUGGUAGGCAGUUUGACUGGGGCGGUCUCCUCCCAAAGCGUAACGGAGGAGUUCGAAGGUACGCUAGUUACGGUCGGACAUCGUGACGAUAGUGCAAUGGCAUAAGCGUGCUUAACUGCGAGACUGACAAGUCGAGCAGAUGCGAAAGCAGGACAUAGUGAUCCGGUGGUUCUGUAUGGAAGGGCCAUCGCUCAACGGAUAAAAGGUACUCUGGGGAUAACAGGCUGAUACCGCCCAAGAGUUCAUAUCGACGGCGGUGUUUGGCACCUCGAUGUCGGCUCAUCUCAUCCUGGGGCUGUAGCCGGUCCCAAGGGUAUGGCUGUUCGCCAUUUAAAGAGGUACGUGAGCUGGGUUUAAAACGUCGUGAGACAGUUUGGUCCCUAUCUUCCGUGGGCGCUGCAGAUUUGAGAAAGCCUGCUCCUAGUACGAGAGGACCGGAGUGGACACACCUCUGGUGUAUCGGUUGUCACGCCAGUGGCAUUGCCGAGUAGCUAAGUGUGGAAGAGAUAACCGCUGAAAGCAUCUAAGCGGGAAACUCGUUUCAAGAUGAGAUCUGCCGGGGCCUUUGAGCCCCCUGAAGAGUCGUUCAAGACCAGGACGUUGAUAGGCUGGGUGUGGAAGUGCAGCAAUGCAUUAAGCUAACCAGUACUAAUUGCUCGUGCGGCUUGACCC
rnacentral:rRNA from 1 species